UUAAGCAUAAAUCUCUGUCUCUCUCUAUAUCAUAGGAAAUCAAGUUCCUUGGUACGAGUUUUCACUUGCACAAACAGGUUGAUGAGUUUUACUCAGAUUGCUUGAGAAUGCAAUUUUAUAGCCAACUAAAAAGUCUCAGAUGUACUGGCAGUGCGUUUUUGAUGAUGUUAUCGAUUUUCCUGAGAGGUCACAAUUUCUGCGAGCGAAGAUAUUAAUAACGACAAAGGCCUUUUUCGCUUCUUCGUCAAGUUUUCGAGCAACUCUGUCAACUGCUGCCUAAUCCCCCAACAUGCACAAGAAUUGAGAGCUGUCCAGGGACUUCCAGAGGGAAUUUGCGACUAGAAAGAAGAUAGGCCAGAAAAAACAAGGUGCAACGAGAGAAUCGAGCAGUGAAAUUCAUUGGAGAUAAAAAUACUGUAAGAAGAGAAUGAAAACAUGCACGUGCUUGAAAUUUUCGAGAGGGAAAUAGAUGGAAGCCAGGUCUAUUAUACACGGAAUGGAAGGAUACAAUAUACAAAUCGUAUUCCUAUUCCUAUUACAACACUCCCUCUCAAGCUGGUGCGUACAAGUCUUAUGUACCAAACUUGUUACAAAUGUAAUUAAUACGAGGAUCAGUGAGGGACUUGGUGAAAAUAUCUGCAAGUUGAUCACUUGACUUCACAAGUUUUGUAAUAAUAUCUCAAGAGUGUAUCUUUUCUCUGACAAAUUGACAGCCAAUCUGAAUGUGCGCUCAUGAAAUACCGGAUUUGAUGCGA